AAGGAAAUGGAAUUAGUCUCUUCUCAGGCUAAAGAUAUGUCUCAAUCGCAGGUUGAUUUUUCAGAUAUAAUGAAUCUCGUCGUUGACGACAGUGACAUAGAUGAAGACUGCUGUAUUUGGGGGAAAUCUAAGAGAAAAGGUAGCAGUAUUUUUCGAGAACCUAAGAGAAAGGAAGAGACUACAACAACCUGUGAAGCUGAGCUAACUUCCUUGAGGAAUCGAGUCCAAUAUCUAGAAAACGAAGUAAGGAUUUUGCAUGAUCUCAUCAAUAACUUCCUUGGCAAAAGUAGUAUAUAGAAGUUAGGAUAUUAGUUUAAGUAUUGGAUUGAGACUUGUGUUAUGUAUGAAUUGAUUUUUGGUUUAUGAAAUGAUGUAUAUCUUUUGGAUGUUUAU